rnacentral:rRNA from 1 species
GAUGAACGCUGGCGGCGUGCUUAACACAUGCAAGUCGAACGAAGCACUUUAUUUGAUUUCCUUCGGGACUGAUUAUUUUGUGACUGAGUGGCGGACGGGUGAGUAACGCGUGGGUAACCUGCCUUGUACAGGGGGAUAACAGUUGGAAACGGCUGCUAAUACCGCAUAAGCGCACAGCAUCGCAAGAUGCAGUGUGAAAAACUCCGGUGGUAUAAGAUGGACCCGCGUUGGAUUAGCUAGUUGGUGAGGUAACGGCCCACCAAGGCGACGAUCCAUAGCCGACCUGAGAGGGUGACCGGCCACAUUGGGACUGAGACACGGCCCAAACUCCUACGGGAGGCAGCAGUGGGGAAUAUUGCACAAUGGGCGAAAGCCUGAUGCAGCGACGCCGCGUGAGCGAAGAAGUAUUUCGGUAUGUAAAGCUCUAUCAGCAGGGAAGAUAAUGACGGUACCUGACUAAGAAGCACCGGCUAAAUACGUG